UACGUAGGGGACAAGCGUUGUCCGGAGUUACUGGGCGUAAAGCGUGCGCAGGCGGUUUUGUAAGUCUGUCGUGAAAUCCCCGGGCUUAACCUGGGAAUUGCGAUGGAGACUGCAAGGCUAGAAUCUGGCAGAGGGGGGUAGAAUUCCACGUGUAGCAGUGAAAUGCGUAGAGAUGUGGAGGAACACCGAUGGCGAAGGCAGCCCCCUGGGUCAAGAUUGACGCUCAUGCACGAAAGCGUGGGGAGCAAACAGG
rnacentral:rRNA from 1 species